GUGGGGAAUAUUGGGCAAUGGGCGCAAGCCUGACCCAGCAACGCCGCGUGAAGGAAGAAGGCUUUCGGGUUGUAAACUUCUUUUACCAGGGACGAAACAAAUGACGGUACCUGGUGAAUAAGCCACGGCUAACUACGUGCCAGCAGCCGCGGUAAUACGUAGGUGGCGAGCGUUAUCCGGAUUUAUUGGGUGUAAAGGGCGUGUAGGCGGGACAGCAAGUCAGAUGUGAAAACCAGAGGCUCAACCUCUGGCCUGCAUUUGAAACUGUUGUUCUUGAGUGUCGGAGAGGUAAUCGGAAUUCCGUGUGUAGCGGUGAAAUGCGUAGAUAUACGGAGGAACACCAGUGGCGAAGGCGGAUUACUGGACGAUAACUGACGCUGAGGCUCGAAAGCGUGGGGAGCAAACAGGAUUAGAAACCCUGGUAGUCC
rnacentral:rRNA from 1 species